CACUCCUGCGGGAGGCAGCAGUGAGGAAUAUUGGACAAUGGGUGGAAGCCUGAUCCAGCCAUCCCGCGUGCAGGAAGACGGCCCUAUGGGUUGUAAACUGCUUUUAUCUGGGGAUAAACCUACUUACGUGUAAGUAGCUGAAGGUACCAGAAGAAUAAGCACCGGCUAACUCCGUGCCAGCAGCCGCGGUAAUACGGAGGGUGCAAGCGUUAUCCGGAUUUAUUGGGUUUAAAGGGUCCGUAGGCGGACUGAUAAGUCAGUGGUGAAAUCCGACAGCUUAACUGUCGAACUGCCAUUGAUACUGUUAGUCUUGAGUAAGGUUGAAGUGGCUGGAAUAAGUAGUGUAGCGGUGAAAUGCAUAGAUAUUACUUAGAACACCAAUUGCGAAGGCAGGUCACUAAGUCUUAACUGACGCUGAUGGACGAAAGCGUGGGGAGCGAACAGGAUUAGAAACCCUUGUAGUCCCAU
rnacentral:rRNA from 1 species